CACUAACGCUGGCGGCAUGCCUAACACAUGCAAGUCGAACGAGACCUUCGGGUCUUGUGGCGCACGGGUGCGUAACGCGUGGGAACCUGCCCUUAGGUUCGGAAUAACUCCCCGAAAGGGGUGCUAAUACCGGAUAAUGUCUUCGGACCAAAGAUUUAUCGCCUUUGGAUGGGCCCGCGUUGGAUUAGCUAGUUGGUAGGGUAAAAGCCUACCAAGGCGACGAUCCAUAGCUGGUCUGAGAGGAUGAUCAGCCACACUGGGACUGAGACACGGCCCAGACUCCUACGGGAGGCAGCAGUGGGGAAUAUUGGACAAUGGGCGAAAGCCUGAUCCAGCAAUGCCGCGUGAGUGAUGAAGGCCUUAGGGUUGUAAAGCUCUUUUACCCGGGAUGAUAAUGACAGUACCGGGAGAAUAAGCUCCGGCUAACUCCGUG
rnacentral:rRNA from 1 species